rnacentral:rRNA from 1 species
AUUGAACGCUGGCGGCAGGCCUAACACAUGCAAGUCGAACGAGUGGCGGACGGGUGAGUAAUGUCUGGGAAACUGGCUGAUGGAGGGGGAUAACUAAUGGAAACAGUCGCUAAUACCGCAUAGCAUCCGUUGGGACCAGAUGGGAUUAUCUAGUCGGUGGGGUAAUGGUACACCAAGUCGACGGUCCCUAGCUGGCCUGAGAGGAUGACCAGCCACACUGGAACGGAGACACGGGCCAGACUCCUACGGGAGGCAGCAGUGGGGAAUAUUGCACAAUGGGCGCAAGCCUGAUGCAGCCAUGCCGCGUGUGUGAAGAAGGCCUUCGGGUUGUAAAGCACGUUCAGCGAGGAGGCGUUACUCGCAGAAGAAGCACCGGCUAACUCCGUGCCAGCAGCCGCGGUAAUUC